ACGUGGUAUCCUGUCUGAAUAUGGGGGGACCAUCCUCCAAGGCUAAAUACUCCUGACUGACCGAUAGUGAACCAGUACCGUGAGGGAAAGGCGAAAAGAACCCCGGCGAGGGGAGUGAAAAAGAACCUGAAACCGUGUACGUACAAGCAGUGGGAGCACCCUUCGGGGUGUGACUGCGUACCUUUUGUAUAAUGGGUCAGCGACUUAUAUUCUGUAGCAAGGUUAACCGAAUAGGGGAGCCGGAGGGAAACCGAGUCUUAAUUGGGCGUUAAGUUGCAGGGUAUAGACCCGAAACCCGGUGAUCUAGCCAUGGGCAGGUUGAAGGUUGGGUAACACUAACUGGAGGACCGAACCGACUAAUGUUGAAAAAUUAGCGGAUGACCUGUGGCUGGGGGUGAAAGGCCAAUCAAACCGGGAGAUAGCUGGUUCUCCCCGAAAGCUAUUUAGGUAGCGCCUCGUGAAUUCAUCUCCGGGGGUAGAGCACUGUUUCGGCUAGGGGGCCAUCCCGGCUUACCAACCCGAUGCAAACUGCGAAUACCGGAGAAUGUUAUCACGGGAGACACACGGCGGGUGCUAACGUCCGUCGUGAAGAGGGAAACAACCCAGACCGCCAGCUAAGGUCCCAAAGUCAUGGUUAAGUGGGAAACGAUGUGGGAAGGCCCAGACAGCCAGGAUGUUGGCUUAGAAGCAGCCAUCAUUUAAAGAAAGCGUAAUAGCUCACUGGUCGAGUCGGCCUGCGCGGAAGAUGUAACGGGGCUAAACCAUGCACCGAAGCUGCGGCAGCGAACGUAUCACCCAAGACAACUUUGCGGAGUUGACGAUUGACGGAGCGAAGCGACGUCAAAGCGUUCAUUAAAGUCGAGUUGGCUUAGGGAUACGUUCGUUGGGUAGGGGAGCGUUCUGUAAGCCUGUGAAGGU
rnacentral:rRNA from 1 species